rnacentral:rRNA from 1 species
UGGGGAAUAUUGCACAAUGGGCGAAAGCCUGAUGCAGCGACGCCGCGUGGGGGAUGAAGGCCUUCGGGUUGUAAACCCCUUUCAGUAGGGAAGAAGCGAGAGUGACGGUACCUGCAGAAGAAGCGCCGGCUAACUACGUGCCAGCAGCCGCGGUAAUACGUAGGGCGCAAGCGUUGUCCGGAAUUAUUGGGCGUAAAGAGCUCGUAGGCGGCUUGUCGCGUCUGCCGUGAAAGUCUGGGGCUUAACCCUAGAAUUGCGGUGGGUACGGGCAGGCUAGAGUGCGGUAGGGGUGACUGGAAUUCCUGGUGUAGCGGUGGAAUGCGCAGAUAUCAGGAGGAACACCGAUGGCGAAGGCAGGUCACUGGGCCGCAACUGACGCUGAGGAGCGAAAGCAUGGGGA